ensembl:lncRNA
AUGGGCUACAUGGCAACCCCACUGAGCUCCUGGUUUGGCUUUGGUUUAGGAUGUCACCUAAGCAGAGGCCUCCGCAUUUGCCCUGUCCUUGGACUGACACCCAAGCUUCAGGAGAGCCACAGCCCCUUGGCUGCCUGCUCAGCAUCGCCCCGAUGGUGGUCAGCCCCUCCUGCUUGUUUGGGUUGGACCACCAUCCUCCGCCCAGCACGUCUCAGCGCUGCUCAUUCCUCCCCACAGAUUUCACCAAAGCCCCAUGUCAGUGAAGGUCUGACUGCAGUGAGCCCUGCACAGCUCACACCACCAAACCUCAGUGUUCUGAGAAGAACCCAAAGGCAGGGGAGACAUUCAUUCAGCUCUCUGCUGUCUUUCAGUGUUUAUUUGGUUUCAACAUCCGCAUUACCGUGGUCUCCCCCUGGCAGGAGGCACCACGUGCUCACACACUGCGUGUGCUGGGUGCCAGGCCUGGGCUGCAGCGAUGGCACGAGCAGCGCUGGAUCCCUGCACAACACAGUGGGUUCCUGCACGUAUGUGGAAACCGUGCUCCACUGUGCCAGCUGGGAAUACGCGCAGUGCCUGAGUCUGCCCACUGCUGCAGGCACACAGGAGCAGAAUUUCACAGUCGUAGAUUGGUUGGAUUGGAGGGGACCUUAAAGACCUUCCCUGCCGUGGGCUGCAUGCCCUACAGCUCGGCUGCCCAGGGCCCCUUCCUGAUCCACUCUCCCAUUUAGGCUCCUUAUUGCCCAUUCGUUUCUAACAGCGCUGUUUCUAAUGGUCAGAUGGAAACUGUAAGAGGAAGUGGUCUGAGUUCAGCUCUGCAAAGGAAGAGAUAGAAAACCUUAUUAUGGGCAGGUAUAGAGCAGUGUCCCCUUUGGGAACGUCAUCUCCUUUUUCCCCAGGGCAGCAGCAUCUAGCUCAAGGCACCAGGGUUAAUGUCCUUUGCAAAUACUUAUCCGGCCUAAUAGAUCUGGGGAUAUUGCUAUCACUCACAGAUAUUUCAAAAUCUCUCCUCUUAAUCCUGACAAGCUCUUGCCCUUAAUAACUUCAGUGGGACUCUUGCCAGAGCAAAGACUGUCAAGUCGGAUUCUCAAAUGAAACAAAAAGAAAAGCAGGAAGGGAAGUUCAAGGUGAGGGGUUUUUUUUGCUUGGUGCUUUUUGUGGAUGUUCGUAGAUGGAAACUGUUGGGAUUUUUUCCUUCUGAUUACUUAAAUGAUGGAUGAGUCAAAUGUCCUGAGAAAGCCUUCCAGACCCAGCCACAAAUGGCACAGGAUGGAGAGAGCAAAGCCAUCGGGGGCUGAGGACAGACAGAGAAAGAAGACUGAGAGAGUAGCAUGGUAGGGAAAUAGCAGCUUCAGUGGGAAGAAAGAUUUCAGAGGGAAGCGGGGAUCAUUUGUGGAGCUUGUACAUAGAAAUAGUUUAUACAUUUUUGGUUAGUGAAUAUUUAAGAAUGUCGUAAUAAUCAGUUGUUGUGAGUUAUCCCAGACAGCUGGUUGCGCGUGGCCGCAGGGCGUUCGGUGGUACCUCCUUACAUUCCGUGGAAACCUUUUGCAGAGCUCAGUCUCCUGUGACACAGAUUAUCUCAGCUUUCAUUAAAAAUGAGGGGAACAUUUCUAUACUCCCUCUGUUGCAGAAAACCUAGAAAACAUGAAGCUGAGAGCCACAGAGCAAAUAAGGCCCCAGACCCCAUCCUGAGACACUCUGUGAUUGCUGGAGCCGUUCUCCUCCGGGGACGCGGAGGGCGGAUCGAUGGUUUGCAGCGCUGAAGGCAGGCGCUGCUGAUAAGCGAUGAGCGCUUGUGAUAUGAGCACAGGAGGCAACGAGCAGCAAGAACAGAAGAUAGGAGCUACUCUUAGAUAGAACUGGCCUUUUCCUGCAGCCCUUUCAGAGCAGCACAAGGUGCCCUGGGUCCUUCCAGGCACCGGCUCAGAAGCAGGACAGCUUUCUUUGCUCAGCUCUGCACUGUUCUCGCGAGGCUUGGCAAGCUGGUCCUCCAUGCAGAGCAGGUAUCCCCCAGACCCAACCUCACCCCACACCAUUUGUUUCCUCCCGGUGUGCAGAUUCACCUUUUCACCCAGGGAAGGAACUGAUGUCACCACCAGGAGAUCUGCAACAUCUCUGGGAGGAUCCGUGAGCCUGUGACCACAGCAGAGCGUGGCUGCAGCAGCUGAAGGCUUCCGAGGAAGAAGAGGGUUUGGGGUGGGUGGUUCCUGGAUUUACUUUCCACAGGACUGCACAGGUUCUGCUUCAUUCUAACCUUAAAGCUAGUAAAUACUCGGAAAAGCUAACUUAGAUUCUGUUUGCUGUUCUGAAACAAGCCAUAAAUCCUUUGGAGUUUGGGGGGAAUUUUUUUUCUCUCUCUUUUUUUUUUUUCUUUUUGCACAUGCUGCCAAAAUUCUGCUAUUACUUAUUGAGAUGCAUUUGUAAGGUUACAAAUUUGCAACGAUUUCCAGCACAAAUAUUUUUCAAAGAAGUGUUUCCCCUCUUCCCUGUAAAUAUUCUGCCUCUGGCCUUUGUGGGAAAAAAAAGAUGUUUUGGCCAAAGUAGGAAAAAAUAAAAAUCUAUAAACAUUUCA